GACUUAGCCCCCCAUGCACCUAUCUGACCACAGGAUGUGCCUGUCUGUGUGCUGUCACUACUUGAGUGUCUCACUCUUGGCAUGGUCUGACCCAUGUGUACAUGUGGUUAUAAUCUAAGAAGUCUUUUUCCUCAAAAUGGGUUCAUUAUAGUUUUUAGUAGGCUUAUAGCCUAACCCCCUCAGGAUAUCUGCUUCUCCUGGAUUCUCUCAGUAUGCAGAGUGGUUUGGUACCAAAUUUCAGUAAUGCUUAUAGGCUUAAUGAACAUUGUCUAUGGACCAGAUUGUGAACCAUGUGUGUCUGAGACACAGGAUUCUGCUUCUAACUCCUUCCCAUUUCAGUCUUUCCUCUUAUUACUUCUUGCCCUAUUCUUCUCUAUCCACUAAUUGCCAUGUUGUCCUGUGAUCCCAUUUCUUUUUACCUUAUUGUUGACGUUGUGUACUGGAACACACUGUCUACACAGUGUGGCCUAACACAGCCAUGACCCCAUCCUCAGCCCUGGGAUAACUAGGUGUUUUUGUAUUCACUAAAUGUCUCUCCCUCACAAAGCUCAUGAGACUGACAAGAUCACUGGGAGAGAACUGAACAGAACCCUUCUCAGAUACAAUAUGACAGGAAAAGUCUUAGUAUGGCAUCUGAAUCAGACCUUUACCACAUGGACAGGUACAUCCUCGUUUGUCUUUAGGUCUUCCCUCUGUUUAACUUGCCUUAUGAGCAAACAGUCCAGCAGCAGCAGAACCAUAUUGUUCAUCAGGUUUAGUAACAUGAAUUAAAUUCCUACACUUUUUCCCACAUCAAGUAAAGCCCAGUGUAAACAAUAAGCAGUACUGUUCACUUCUUGUCCCCCUAGUGGUAGCUCAAUGUUCUGAUGGUGCAGCUUUGCCAGUGGACAAGGGGAAAGGAGCAGUGAAAAUGGUGGAGGUAAGAAGGCCUUUCCUUUCUCUCAUCUAGAAAACUUACUUUAAUGGUCCCCUUAUGGUUCAGUGGGUAUCACAAAUGAAUCCUGACACUGAUCAGGUAUAUGACCUUUUAAAGUUUCUCAUGUUUUAAAGAUCUCACUGGCUGAGCAUUUAAUAUGCAUAAUCUGGGCACAUGGAGCUUUCUUUCAACACAUCAAACCAUGGAGAAUACACUUAAAUUAUUUCUAACAUAGGUCACAGAAACAGAAAACUUCUUAAUGAAAGAUACAAGUUUUCACAGAUGGUAUGCGAUAUAGUUUAGGGACUUUUUCAUAGAGGCCAGACUCUGCCUUUGAAACAUGAAAAAACAUGUGAAAGGUCUUUUUCAUGAAGUACAGAGCUCCAGCUCUUCUGUUUCGUCACUAAAUAAUGGAUCCAUUAACAUAAUCUCCACGUGAUUGCUCCUUUCUAUCUUGACUGCAACUAGAAAAUGCCAAUGGAAAGACCAAAGACUUUAGCAGGCACUACUCAACAGGAUCUAAGCCUUAAAAUAUUUCAUUUUCAAUUACAGGCAACAUCGAAAAAACGAAGAUGUGGUAUGUAUUAUGGAAUCACUCUCUAAGACACAUUUUCGAUGGUAAUUAUGUAAUACUUUGUCUUUUGUGUGAUGGACAACUGUGAUCUAAGCUGCUUAUUGAUGAUGUUAUUGUUGUUGUUGUUGUGUUUUUUAAAGGAUUUUUUAAAACAUUGUAAGUCAUAAAUAAUGGCCAUGUGUCUGUGGUUACUGUGUUCAACUGUGAUUCCUUUAUUUUAAAAGGAGUCUUUGUUCAUCAAGGCAUGUCUAAAUCUUUUUUCCCCCAGAAAAAGACCCCAAUUAUCCAAACCACUUUCUAGUAGAAAAUUUAUAAAUUAAGAAAUCAUAAUACAGUUUAGCUACAAAAAUAUGCUCAAACUUCAUCAGUGCCAUGCAAGGCCAGGCUGUAUGCUUGUAUUCCUUCAUAGAUGAAAGAACCUGAGUUCAGGGAUGAUUCUGAGACUCCUUAGAUGUACAUAUCAAGAGACACUUAUUACCCAAUCAAGAAAAGUUUCAACUUCUGGCAUCUGCCUUGCCACGAGACAAAUUGAUAGGGCUUUGAAACUCUACCCUGGCUGCUGCAGAAGUCAGAAGCCCAUGGUAGUGUGUCAUUCAGCAGGCAGCCAACAGGCACAGCUCUGGAAGGUAGAGAAGCACACGCUGCUUUUCAGGUGACCGAGCCUGGAAAUUAAAUUCUGUACAUGGAAAAGUGGGGGUGGCUAUGUCCCAACGGGGAUUCUCCAGUAAGCUCUGGAGAAAUGCUUUAGCAGACUAGAUAACAUCAGAAUGGGCACAAAGAGCCACACAGUUUAGGAGCAGUGUCCACUAAGAACUCCAAUCUUCAUUAGCUUGAUCUAUGCUGGAUCAUUACUCCAGCAAUACUUUUCAUUUCUUAUUUUGUAUUUUAUUUUUAAUAUCAUUAUAUUAAUUUUGAUAAGAUAAUGCAAUUUGUUUUGUCAUAUUUAUCCCUUAUAACUCUCUACACAUACUCAUUCUCCCUUUUCAAUUUUUCUUAAAUGCAUAUCCUUAAAAAACCUUUCUAGUCCAAUUUAUGCCAAACAUGUAUAGGGGCAUCCAUUGACACUUGGGUUGACCUUCAGGGGCAAUAUCUUUAAUUAAAACUGCCCCUCUCUCAGACAAAAGCCAUAAACUACCAAUAACUUCUUAAUUAGGUAUGAGAAGGGCUUCUGAACCUCUUCCCUUCAAGCCACAAUAUUGUCUUCUUGACUUUGUGAAGGUCCUAUAUGAGCAUCCAGCAAUAUACAUUUAAAGGAGAGCUAGACUCUGAACAUCAAGGAUACUUUGUCCUGGGUAGUUAAAUUCCAUGUUGCCUUUUCUAUUUUCUUCUCCGUGGGUUUACAUAGUCAUCAGAGAAGAGUGUCACCAGAUAUCCUCUUGUCCACGUUUGUAUGUCUUCAUGCUUACGCUUUCACCAAUAAGGUGAUGGGUUAAGAGGAGCUAUUAUGGGUUAGAACAGGUAGCUUCGUUGGCUUAGUUCAUACCUAUCAUAUCCAAAACCCUGAGUUUCAUCCCAAGUAUUCCAUAUAAUGCAUCCAUGAUGGCACAAUCUGCAAUCCUUGGUUUAGAGUUUUGGAUACAGAAAAGUCUAAGUUCAAGGUCAUCUCUUUCUUUUUUAAUUUUGUUAUUGUUUUUUUUUGUGUGAAUUUCACAUCAUACACCCCAAUCCCACUUAUCUCCUCUUCCCAUUGUACCUCCCCUCCACCCUUGCUCUAACACACAACAAAGAAAAAAUAUUGUGGAAGUUGUAGUGUGUCAGUGUGUCCCACAGUACACCCUUUUGUCUAUACUUCCUUGCUUACAAAUAUUCAUUGUAAUGGCUUAUUGAUCUGAUACAUGCUCGUGGCUUCUGAUAAUCUAUCUGAGGUUCCAUUACUGGAACAUACAGUUUAUCCUCUGGGAUAAUCUAUUGUUGCCGAGUGUCCUGGAGAUCCUGAUGUUUUGUAUCUAUAGGACCAGCCACUUCAUGCAUGUCAGCAGUUCAUUGAUGGGGUAGAUGUUGGGUUGAGCCAAUUCUAAGUCCUGAAGGCCUGGCAGGUCACUAAUCUGUUCAGCCUCCCAGCUGUCCCCCUCUACCACACCCAGGGACAGCUCACCAGGAAGCCCUGCAACCAGAGCUAGCUCUAUCCUGCUGUCCAGGUAAGGUACAAAACCCCUCUCCCAAGUGUUGCAGUUAGUGAGGGACAUGGUCAGUUCUCCCACUCUCAUGACCUGAGGUGGGGGCAGAUGUUCCACCUGCCUUAGAUGGCAGAAGAGCAGAGAGGAGGGAGGGUGGCAUCUCUCCAUUUUCUACACCACAGUCCAUCAGACAAGAAAGUAGGGUUGGCUCUCCUGCAUUCACACGUUCCAGGCUGUCUUACCUGUAAGCCCCUCAUGCAGGGCCAGCUCUACUGUGCUGUCCAGGCAAGGUACAGGAUCUGCUCUCCUGAGUGCUGCAGCAAAUGUAGGGGCAGGGAUAGCUCUUCUGCUUUCAUGACCCCAGGGCCAGCUCUUCCACCUGCCAUAGAUGGUAAGGAGGGAGAGGGAGGAAGGGUAUCUCUCCCUCAUCCACACCACUAUAUGGGAGGUGAGUAGAGCCAGCUCUCUAAUGCUCCUGUCCGCAGCAGUGGCUCACAGUCUUCAGCCAUCAACAUGUCCCCGGGCAGUGACCCACACCAGAGACAUUUGCCUGGCCUUUGGUGGUAACAGAUCCCUGAUGCUGCAGGGCCAAGGUGGCAGCACGGACCAGGACCCCACCGUGUUCCCAGGUAGCAUCUCUGACUACUCACAUCAGGCUGCUCCUCAUUACCCUCAAGUCUCCGGUUCAGCCUCUCUUCAUUGUGCCCACAUCCUUCUGUUUCUCGUUCUCUUCUACUUCUCUACCACUAACUAGCUUCUCUUAGUGGUGCCCAGUGUCUCUGAAUGUCUAGGAUCAUCUCAGGAGUGGUCCCUAGUGUGUAUGUCCCACUUGUGUGUUAUGACACUGGGAUUAGCUCUCUGUCCAGGCUUCAUGGCACUGGUCUGGUGGUCAUCACAGGCUUGCUUCUUGCUCAGCUGCCUGAGUGGCCCAAUAUGAAGGUCAUCUAUCUCUGGCUCACACCAGCCCAGGCCCGCAGUCCCACAUGGAGUUCUGUCUGGGCCUGAGCAUUGGUGCUGGCACUAGAAUGAUGCUCAUCUCAGACUCACUGUUUUCAGUGAAUGUUGGACUACUAAUCAUUCACAUGUUCAUAAGUCAAAACACUGAGUAUAGACAUAGCUUCUCUCUUCUCUGCCACCUGCUGACACACAAGUGACAUAGCAGUCACAUCUGCAGUGCCUAGGUCUUCCUUUUUUCAUAAUGAAUUUUAAGCCAGCCUAGGGUAGAUGCCUUUUUCUUCAUCACCGUUGUCAUCAUCAUCACUAGAAAUGACUAAUGAUAACGACAAGGACGACGACAACAACAACAUAUCUGCAAAAGGUCUAUUGAUGGAAGGAGAGUUUGUAGGAACUAAUCUUCCCCUUGGUAGGAUGACCACAUUCCUGGAUAGACACAAGCCCAUGAACAUAUGAUUGGCACUAACUGAACUUGGUAGGUUAUUAGAAUUAAAUGAAAAGGACUUGAAGUAGGUAAGGAGUGGAGAGAUAGAAAUGUAGCCAGGAGGAGUUGGGGUGUAGGGUUGGAAUAAAUAGGAUCAAAAUACAUUUUAUGGAGUUCUCAAUUAAGAAAAUAUUUUAUUAAAAAUUUUGAUGAGGAAACGAUAAGCAGACCCAAUGGACACUCAUUCCUUGUGUAGCCACGUACUCACCUCACGUCAACUCAUGUUGAGGGUUUACACAAGUUUGACCAACUUUCUUUGUCCAACCUUCACGUGACAACUUGAUUUAGAAUGACUUGGAGUCUGAGGCAUCACAGAAGAGAUGCAAGCAUAAAUUGCCUAUCGGUGUGGGUAUUUGAUGGUCACUGACUGAGAGGAGCCUGACAGGCUAAAGACACUGGAUAAACGAUCUAUUCUAUUUGCUGGUUAAGAGCCCUUCUACAAACUUGGAAAUUCAUAUAUUGAGUCAGAAAUCAAAGGCAGAGCAUCUAUUUCUUUGGUUAUUUCUGUCAGGGAGUAUUGCCAGGGCAUCAUGGCUAAAACUAGAGAUUAAAAAACCAGAGGAGAUAUAUUCUCCUUAACUUCCAAACUAUAGUGAUAUAAUAUAUUCUGCAUAAGCUGUCAAAUAUUCUCAAUAAG
rnacentral:lncRNA from 1 species